GUGCUUGAUAUCUUAGUUGAUGAUGGCCAUGCUCGCGGUAUGGUUGCCAUGAAUAUGAUGGAAGGCACACUUGUGCAAAUCAACGCAAAUGCA
rnacentral:tRNA from 1 species